CUUUUUAAGAAGGAGGCAGCAGCCAAUAGAACCUUUCUUUUUUCUUUUUUUUUUUCUUCUUUUUUUUUUUUUCCCCCCACUUCUUACUAGAGAAAUUCGUGUUACCUCAGCAAUUAAGGAGAAGAGCCAGCACCUAGGGUUCCAGGCUGUGAGGGGGAGUAGCAACUUGUACCAGCAACACAGCUCUGUCAUGGUCCUUGGCUUGCAGGAGAUGGAGAGGAUUCAUUGAGUCUUCAGGAAGGGAAGGAGUUUUGAACUAACAAUCUGCAGGAACACAGAGGGUUUGUGUCACUUAAUUGAGAGCUGAAGAUUGAAAGUUGAAGAUUCCAGUGUAUCAUACUUUGGAUUUGAGGAUCCAAUUAAAACUGUGUUUGGACCAUUGCUUUGCCUGCCAGUACUUAAUCUUUUCCGAAAACCUCAUCACUUAUCUAAAGGAAAAGAAAAACGAGGUAAGGAGAAAAAAGUAAUGAAAUGCAGCAUAGCACAUCUGUCAAAGGAAUGGAAAGUAGCUUUAAAAAAAAAAAUCCAGGAUCAAUGGCAUUAAAAAAUUAUUUGUCGAGCACUAAAUGUGUUCAUGUUAGGCAUCUUAAUUCUAAAGGAUCUGUAACUCCCAUUAUGUUCUUGCAUACACUGAGGGUUUGGUUGUUUUGUGUUUGAGAUUUACCUUUGAUGUAGCCACGGGACACAAAUGACUGAUAGGAAUGGUUGCUAAAUGUACC